ensembl:lncRNA
CACACAGCAAUAAUAAAGCAGUUCUGAAUCACAUACAUGGCACCUGCCUGCACAUCUGGCUCUUCUGCUUGCACUUAAGUAGACACACAGGCUUACUAGAGUUACCAGGUAAUGGAAAAGGACCGGAUAAGGAGGUCUGCCGGCCAUGUCUUCUGGCCAUGCUGCCAGUUCUUUAAUGCAAAUCCUCAGCACUGAAGAUUACUGAGUUGGGUAAUGUUCACUCAAGGCUGCAAACACUUCCAGGAAUUGUUUCACUGAUUUAUGAGGAGAGGUUGUGCAGUCCAGCUGCACAUUAGAGCAACCGAUGUCUGCCACAGGGCUAUAGAAGAUGCACUGGCCUCUGUCAGUAAGUGAGCCUGAUGUCUAAGGGUAUUGAAGAGAGAGGGACUGAAAGAAAUGGGGUACCAUAUCCACGUCACCCAAGAAACCACGCUGUGAAUGCUGCGAAGUACAAGCAGGAUCGAAGAGUCAGACCCACACCAUUCCUGCUCGCGAUGACACCCUGGCAUCUGAAGAACAACAUGACACCCACCACAAAACGCUGCUGUUGGCUAGCGCUGUCUUAAACGGGUAGUUGUGGUUUAAUCGUUUCUUCUACCCCUAUAAAGUAAAAGGCAAAGCUAACAGUUACCAUAUGGUAAAGGUAUGAUUCAAAGCCCUGCGUAGUGAGUGCCACGAGGACAAAUAUGCACGCACGAUUAUCUCCGUGCUGAGAGAUGGGGCUGAAUGUAGGAGUGAAAUAAUUACAAAGCGCUGGAGCAAGAGCAGCAAACAGCAGGAAAAUCACCUGUGAAUAGAUGUGAGAAACUGGAAGUGUACUCCAGUGUUUGUGUGGUCAUCAAAAUCAAACGUUCAGGAGCUGGAAAUCCAACUGCCGGGAGGGCAGACUGAUACAUUUAUAGGCACGUAUAGCCCGUGCCUUAAACUUUGAGUCUGCAACGUUGUUAGUGAGGUAUCCUCCUUUAUAAUGCUUGGCAUUUGUUCCCUUGGCAUUUAAAGAAGAUGGGCUGUUUUAAUUACAAUUUGAGCGAAUUCUUUAAAAGAAAAAAAAACCAAACUGCAAAAUGACUGAUGCAAAUCCCGGCCACUCGUGAGCACAAUGAAAUUCUACUGAGCAGAGAGGACACCGGGAGAGGCUCCCGAUCAGCUGCAGCAGAGAAUGCCCUGCGCUACGCAGCCCUCAGACGCCGGGAUUCUGAAAUACGAAUUAGACCUCAAAUGCAAAUCAACCUCCGAAGGGGGAGAAGGAAAAAAAAAAUAAUUAAAAAAAAAAAAUCAGAGAGACAUACCGAGUCAAACGCUCCUUUUUCUGCCUAUCUCGUCCCCAGUGUUAAAACAGGCAAAACAAAACAAGUGCACAUCAAGAUAGAGCCAAUUAAGGGGAAGGCAGCGCGGAGGGCGGGUGGGAGGCAGCCACCUCGCCGAGCACAUGGGGAGCGGGAGCGCAUCGCCCCACCUCGAGCCGUCCCUGAGCCUUCCGAGCUCUCCCAGGAGGACAACGGGGGGCGGACGGCGCCGUCCAACCUCCCGCAGCCACGAGCACAGCGGAUCCGGCACGGGAGAGUUCGGGCAGCGCGGAGCGGUGCGCUUCGGCCAAGGGUGGCACCGGGAUCCCAGCGCAGUGCCGCACUCCGCGCGGCCGGGCUUUACGCACAGCGCAGUACGCGGGAGGUGUCUUUACGUUUAACGUUUUAAUUUGGACAUGCUAAUUAGGCUGUGGGUCUCCACGGUUCUAUCGGCGGAUAGCUGAUCGCUUCCCUCUGCGAGGAAGUGACUGCUAAAUACAUUUCCCGGCCCCGAUCUCCGUUCCCAGAAGCCCGUCUAGCAGAACCGUCCCGUCGGGCGAAACGGACCUUUAAUAAUGGAAGGCCGAGGGAGGUUCUGCGCAGCGGCGCACCGCCUCGGGCACGGCCCCAACGCGGCCCUCUGCAGCGGAGCCAUCGAAAUAACUCCGUGCCCAGCGAACUUGUUGCUCGCUUUCAGCUCCUCCGCUCACCCCGGCUCGGGUCGGUGCCAGGCGAGGGGCAGAGGCAGCCUGGGGGAGAAGCCGCCGCUGUCGGGGUGAGAAACUUCCCGGGCUCCAAAGCCGCCCGCUCUGGGCGUCGAGGGGCAGCGGCCGCUCCGCUGCUGGGAACUGCGCCCUGGCCAUGUGUUUUCCCCGUGUGGAACGUUGCUCGCAAGUGCGGGAGGUGGAAAGUUUUGUUCACGUCAUUAUCUCAAAGCUUUCCCCGCGCGGUCAGUGGACGCAGAGGCUUCACUCCGUUUUCCGAAUGAAAACCCACGGACGCUUGAUGUGAAAAGUGCAUGCUCCCGUGGGCCGUGCUUUCCCCGAUUACUUUCUUUUUUCUUUUUCUUUUUCUUUUUUUCUUUCACUUUCUUGGCUCCGUCCCGCCAGGAUCUCUCUACGUUUACGGGCUGUACGGUUUCCAGGGCUCCAAUGGGGCUUUCCCUGAUGGAGGCGAGGAACAGAACUUUCCCACUCGCUCGGAAACUGCCGAGGAUCCGGCGGGGGGAGCACACAAAGAGGCCCCAAAUCCCCCCCGGGGCUCAGGGACAUCCCCUGCAGGUGCAGGACCAAAGCUGCAGGGAUGGCCCAAAGCGGUGCAUGUGUCGCUCUCGUCCCCUAUUAUGAGCACUACGGGAGUGAAACGGGGGGUGGGGAGCGGGUUCUUGGGACAGCGGUUCUUGAGCCCACGCACGUUGGUGAAGGGAAACGCGGGGCCGUGCGCGCCGUCGGGCUGAGCCAGGGUUAAUGCCUGCGGGCCCAGACACGCUGUGCUCCGGGGGGGGGGGGGGGGGGGGGUGGUGGUGGUGAGGGGGCUCUGCCAGCUGCUCCCGCAGCGUGGGGAGCGGGAGGGGCGGAAAGGAGGAGCCAUCAGCUUAGGGCACACAAAAACAUUUUAAAAAAUAAAAUAAAAAAAAAUAUAAAAAGACUACUUUUCCAGGCUUAACACAGCCAUUAAAUAUUAAAAGUUCAAAAAAAAUUAUAUAUAUAUGUAUAUAUAUAAAAGACCACGAGUCGUUUUAUUGCAUCUGCACGGGCUUAAGCGCUUUAUUUGGGCGAUAAAAAAUAUUAAAACAAACAAAUAAAUAAAUAAAUCAAAAUCGUGUGUGUAAUUGGUGCCCUCACUCCCUUGACGGCCUCGGAUCCCUCGCAGGUAUCGCCCCCCGAUCCCGCAGCUCCACCCCCAGCAAUCCCG